rnacentral:rRNA from 1 species
CGGGGGGGUAAGCGUUGUUCGGAAUUACUGGGCGUAAAGGGCUCGUAGGCGGCCAACUAAGUCAGACGUGAAAUCCCUCAGCUUAACUGGGGAACUGCGUCUGAUACUGGAUGGCUUGGAUCCGGAAGAGGGAUGCGGAAUUCCAGGUGUAGCGGUGAAAUACGUAGAUAUCUGGAGGAACACCGGUGGCGAAGGCGGCAUCCUGGGCCGGUAUUGACGCUGAGGAGCGAAGGCCAGGGGAGCAAACGGGAUUAGAUACCCCGGUAGUCCUGGCCCUAAACGAUGAAUGCUUGGUGUAGCGGGUAUCGAUCCCUGCUGUGCCGAAGCUAACGCAUUAAGCAUUCCGCCUGGGGAGUACGGUCGCAAGGCUG